rnacentral:rRNA from 1 species
GAUGAACGCUGGCGGCGUGCCUAAUACAUGCAAGUCGAGCGAACGGACGAGAGGCUUGCUUCUCUGAUGUUAGCGGCGGACGGGUGAGUAACACGUGGAUAACCUACCUAUAAGACUGGGAUAACUUCGGGAAACCGGAGCUAAUACCGGAUAAUAUUUUGAACCGCAUGGUUCAAAAGUGAAAGACGGUCUUGCUGUCACUUAUAGAUGGAUCCGCGCUGCAUUAGCUAGUUGGUAAGGUAACGGCUUACCAAGGCAACGAUGCAUAGCCGACCUGAGAGGGUGAUCGGCCACACUGGAACUGAGACACGGUCCAGACUCCUACGGGAGGCAGCAGUAGGGAAUCUUCCGCAAUGGGCGAAAGCAUGACGGAGCAACGCCGCGUGAGUGAUGAAGGUCUUCGGAUCGUAAAACUCUGUUAUUAGGGAAGAACAUAUGUGUAAGUAACUGUGCACAUCGUGACGGUACCUAAUCAGAAAGCCACGGCUAACUACGUG